rnacentral:rRNA from 1 species
CAAAGCACUUUGAAGAGAGAGUUAAAGAGGACGUGAAACCGGGGAGAUGGAAACGGAUAGAGCUAGCGUAUCUGGCCUGUAUUCAACUAUUGGACUUGUGCUGUCAGGGCCGCUGCCUCCAGAUUGGGGUAGUGCUUUGUUCGGUGCAGGACUGACGGUGCAUUUGCAGGUGGAGUGCACUGAGGCGUUCGGGAUAGCUGCAUGAGCUUAGCCCUGCGGCCAGCCCGUAAGGAACUGGUACCCGGACUGGGGGAGUGCUGUUUGGCCUGGAUGUACCUGAUGUGCAUGGCUUACGGGUUCGUGUGGGCACCAAUCUGGCAAUUGGUUACGGUCGCAUGCGACACGUGUCAGAUGCUAGUUCGGUCCUGUACGAACUCUCAUGCCCAUCCUCGGUGUAAAAGCUGGUCAUCUAUCCGACCCGUCUUGAAACACGGACCAAGGAGUUUAUCGUGUGCGCGAGUCAUUGGGCGUUUAAAACCCAAAGGCGAAAUGAAAGUGAAGGUGUCCGCAAGGAGCUGACGUGCGAUCCCGUGUGCUUUGGCAUGCAGGCGCAGCAUGGCCCCAUCCUGUCUGCUUGCAGUGGGGUGGAGGUAGAGCGUGCGCGGUGAGACCCGAAAGAUGGUGAACUAUUCCUGAGCAGGAUGAAGCCAGAGGAAACUCUGGUGGAAGUCCGAAGCGAUUCUGACGUGCAAAUCGAUCGUCUG